rnacentral:rRNA from 1 species
GUGAAAUCUCGGGGCUCAACCCCGAGCGUGCAGUGGAUACUGCCAGGCUAGAGGCUGGUAGAGGAGAGUGGAAUUCCCGGUGUAGCGGUGAAAUGCGCAGAUAUCGGGAGGAACACCAGCGGCGAAGGCGGCUCUCUGGGCCAGUCCUGACGCUGAGGCGCGAAAGCUCGGGGAGCGAACAGGAUUAGAUACCCUGGUAGUCCGAGCCGUAAACGAUGGGCACUAGGUGUGGGGGGUAUCGACCCCUCCCGUGCCGCAGCUAACGCGUUAAGUGCACCGCCUGGGGAGUACGGCCGCAAGGCUAAAACUCAAAGGAAUUGACGGGGG